rnacentral:rRNA from 1 species
UACAUGGGGUGCAAACGUUGCUCGGAAUUAUUGGGCGUAAAGCGCACGUAGGCGGUUUGUUAAGUCGGAUGUGAAAUCCCUCGGCUCAACUGAGGAAGUGCAUCCGAAACUGGCAGGCUUGAGUACUAAAGAGGGUCGCAGAAUUCCCGGUGUAGAGGUGAAAUUCGUAGAUAUCGGGAGGAACACCGGUGGCGAAGGCGGCGACCUGGGUAGAUACUGACGCUGAGGUGCGAAAGCGUGGGGAGCAAACAGG